CUACGGGCUGCACCAGUGGGGAAUAUUGCACAAUGGGCGCAAGCCUGAUGCAGCCAUGCCGCGUGUAUGAAGAAGGCCUUCGGGUUGUAAAGUACUUUCAGCGGGGAGGAAGGGAGUAAAGUUAAUACCUUUGCUCAUUGACGUUACCCGCAGAAGAAGCACCGGCUAACUCCGUACCAGCAGCCGCGGUAAUACGGAGGGUGCAAGCGUUAAUCGGAAUUACUGGGCGUAAAGCGCACGCAGGCGGUUUGUUAAGUCAGAUGUGAAAUCCCCGGGCUCAACCCGGGAACUGCAUCUGAUACUGGCAAGCUUGAGUGUGGUAGAGGGGGGUAGAAUUCCAGGUGUAGCGGUGAAAUGCGUAGAGAUCUGGAGGAAUACCGGUGGCGAAGGCGGCCCCCUGGACGAAGACUGACGCUCAGGUGCGAAAGCGUGGGGAGCAAACAGGAUUAGAUACCCCGGUAGUC
rnacentral:rRNA from 1 species